GUGGUGCGGCAGCCAGGACAGCAGGAACACAGCAACCACGAGAAGCACUGUCUGCGCUGUCUGGAAAGACAAGAUCAAGUAUUAAAUUGUUGCUGUGCUCAUGUGAGUCAAGUGAGGCAGCAUGACCUGCAAUGGUGACCACUGCCAGGUGGGCAAACUAUGACAGUAUGAAAAAGGAUGCUAAAAAGCAGCCUUCCUCCCUGUAAAAACAGAAUUUUGGCUCUCAGUUUUUUUCUUGGGCAACUAAAGACAGUGGAGAUAGUGCCCAUAAAACCUCAAACAAGAAGUUUUAACUAAUGCUAUCCAUGUUACAUGGACAAGUUGAAAUAAUAUUCUCUAACUUUUGAAGGCUGAGGAACAUUAAAAGUAUUGAAAAUAACCAUAGGGGAAAAUUGUCUGUUUGGAAAUAGGCCGCUGAGAGGGGCAACAGGGACACCUCUGCAUUUCUGAGGAGAAAAAUUUAUCCAGGAACUUCUCUCUUAUGGGUGAAACAAACAGAAUAAAAACCACCAACCAAUGUAGAGAGGCUUUUAAAAAUAUAUAUAGUGCUCUUUUGUUAUUAAUAUUACUAGGAUAUACUCCUAGCUAGACAAUAUGCCUCUAGGAUCCCAGCUUGCCUGUGGGCUGUGUGCUGGGGAUGUGACCCUGCAGCACCAGCUCUCCAGCUAGGCCAUCACCCUCACAAGCCAUUGUUUGUCAGCACCAUAUCAACUUUAAACUGAGGUAAAAUUUUCCAGAAAAAUGUUCCUGAAAGUCAUAAUCCAAAAGAAAGGUUAAAGAGAGGUGAGCUGUUGACUACAGCUGUGGUGGCCCCUCACAACUGUGGCAGGGGAAGAGGAAAGAGAGCUGAGGCAAUGCCUCAGGAGAGCUGCACAAAAUGGCGGAGCAGCGUGAGGGCUUGGCUACCUGAGUGGAAAGGGUAGGGGGAAAGACAGCCAGGAGCAAAGACUACAAAGAUCAUGUUCUGAAGUUGACGGCAGUAUGCUCCAGGGGAGAGUGGAGUGGUAAUACUUCAUAGAAGAAAGAAGGAGGACUGGGCAUAUAAUGAACUGGACUAUGGGUCUUGCUUCCCUUCACUCCUCUAAACCAGUUUAAAUUAAUAAUAUACUGCUGUGAUGCCAAAGGCAGCCUUACUCCAGCUAGUGCUGCUUCUUCACACCAUACCAUACUUCCUCGGCCAUUGUGUGGGGGCCAAUACUUUUCUCCUGACUUGUAAUAAAAAGUCAUAAAAAUGUU